rnacentral:tRNA from 1 species
UCUUUGAUGGUCUAGCGGUCAUGAUUUCCGCUUGUCACGCGGGAGACCGGGGCUCGACUCCCCGUCAGAGAG